AAAGCGUGCGCAGGCGGCUUUGCAAGACAGAUGUGAAAUCCCCGGGCUCAACCUGGGAACUGCAUUUGUGACUGCAAGGCUAGAGUACGGCAGAGGGGGAUGGAAUUCCGCGUGUAGCAGUGAAAUGCGUAGAUAUGCGGAGGAACACCAAUGGCGAAGGCAAUCCCCUGGGCCUGUACUGACGCUCAUGCACGAAAGCGUGGGGAGCAAACAGGAUUAGAUACCCUAGU
rnacentral:rRNA from 1 species